rnacentral:rRNA from 1 species
CAGCCGCCGCGGUAAUACGUAGGGUGCAAGCGUUAAUCGGAAUUACUGGGCGUAAAGCGUGCGCAGGCGGUUUGUUAAGACAGAUGUGAAAUCCCCGGGCUCAACCUGGGAACUGCAUUUGUGACUGGCAGGCUAGAGUAUGGCAGAGGGGGGUGGAAUUCCGCGUGUAGCAGUGAAAUGCGUAGAUAUGCGGAGGAACACCGAUGGCGAAGGCAGCCCCUGGGCCAAUACUGACGCUCAUGCACGAAAGCGUGGGGAGCAAACAGGAUUAGAUACCCGGGUAGUCCCUGUCUCUUAUACA